rnacentral:lncRNA from 1 species
CUUCGUUGACCUCGAAAACUAUCCUCUCAUCAAGAUCUUCGAUGCGCUGCACUCUGCGAGGAACCAUAAAUUUGAAAAAUAUGUAAGUAUUCCCUCGCUUCUUGCAUAGCUGCAUCAAAGCAUCUUCUAUGUCCAUCUUGGGAUUUGGCAGCUCUGACAGAUCAAGUUGUGGGUACAAAAUUUGAAUUGCAUUCCAACAAAAGCUAUAGCCGGAAUGAUGUUCGACAAUAAAGAUCGUGUGGAUCAUUGACUAAGAACUGUCCAUUAGCUGCUCAUGAUAUUGAGAGGAAGAAGCUCUUUCUCUUCCUGU